rnacentral:tRNA from 1 species
GAAAGCAUGUUAUAGUGGUUUGAACUUUGGACUAUGACUCUGGAGACCAGGGUUCAAAUCCCUGCUCAGUCG